AAAUGCGAUAAUUAAUGUGAAUUGCAGAAUUCAGUGAAUCAUCGAGUCUUUGAACGCACAUUGCGCCCCCUGGUAUUCCGGGGGGCAUGCCUGUCCGAGCGUCAUUGCUGCCCUCAAGCACGGCUUGUGUGUUGGGCUUCCGUCCCUGGCAACGGGGACGGGCCCAAAAGGCAGUGGCGGCACCAUGUCUGGUCCUCGAGCGUAUGGGGCUUUGUCACCCGCUCCCGUAGGUCCAGCUGGCAGCUAGCCUCGCAACCAAUCUUUUUAACCAGGUUGACCUCGGAUCAGGUAGGGAUACCCGCUGAACUUAAGCA
rnacentral:misc_RNA from 1 species